GCUUUAUGAGGUUGAAACGUGAUUAAAACAUUACAGAGUUGAGGCCGAUAACAGCAGACAUAUAUAAAUAAUACUAUAAAUAAAGAGCAAUGUGGAUGAUAAUAAAACAGACGAGACGUGUUGAAAUAAAUCAGCGUGGUGGCAGCAUUAAUAAAAGACUUCCUGCUGAUUUAAAAGAUGUCAGUGAUUGUGCCGCCUCAGAACAACACUGAACAUUUCCCUCAUUUGAUUCCAGGACGACAAACAGUGAAAUGUGACAGACUGAGAUAUAUACAGACUGAACAGUGUGAUAUGAGCUCACUGGAUACACAACAGCUGUGGUUUCUUUUCACCAGCAGAGGGCGGCAACGUCCUCCAGCUCCAGCAGAAUAAUGCUGAGUAAAGAGCCAGAAAACUCAGAAAGUGCUGAGAAAUACUUCAAGCUGAGGCUUCACACUAAUAUAUGAUUUUUACUAUAAUAAACUUUAUUUAAACACAGAGUUUACAAAGUGCUCUGACAGUCAAGCAAAAUCAAGAAUGUUACAGAAUAAACGCUGAACAGUCAAAGCAAAAACGUUCAGCAUGAGUCAUUACAAAAGGAAUAACAGAGAUUAAAAAAGGCAAAAUCACAGAAAAGGAAAGAAAAACGUGAUGCAAAUAAAGAGAUAAAUAAAAGAAUAGGACCAAUAAAAGACGAUAAGAAGACGACAUCACAUCACAGGAAUCAAGAGCAGAUUUAUGUAUAUAGAGUAUAUAUUUCAAAUAUAAUAAUAAAAUGAAUGAUCUCUUUGUUUUUACUUGUUUUUGGCAGUAAAAGUUAAAUAUCCCCACUGAUCCAUAUUGACCGACCACCCCCCUGUAUCUGCAUGAAAUGGUUUGGUCCUGCCUUAGCUCACUUAUCAGUGACGUGUUUAGUUGCAGUCAGCACACGCGCCAAAACUACAGUGAUCACAAUGUUGCUUCAAUCAAAAUGUGGUUUUCUAAAAAGGAAAGAGAGGAAAGAGAGAGAGGAAAGACAAAGGAAAGGGUUUUCAAUCUGUAACCCAGUUUUUCACCAAGAAAGAUAGAGACUGAGCCGAUGCCCAGCUGGUUACUGAACCGCCCAGAUGUUACCAACAUUAAUGAACUGACUCAUGAACUCAUUAAAACUCUGGAUUGUACAAGUAGAUUUGUGCUCUCAGGAUCACAUGUGAAGCAGCAUCCUGAGACCUUCAGGGGGGAUUUGAGGGUUUCAAAAAUGUGACUGACCAGGUGGUCAAAACUCCUCUGUGGUCUCUCUUCUCCACCUCGUUCCCUCGGAGGCGUCUGCCAUCGAGUUUUUCUUCUCCUGGAUUCUUUUGGGCCCGACAGCUGCUGAGAGCUGCCAGAUGUAUUUCCAGCAGGCCCAGAGAACUUCUCCUCACAGCAGCGAUGCAAGAUCCUGCUAGUAUUCCAGAUCAGUCAGCGCCGGAGCUGCGACGCAGAGCUGACCAGCUAACUACACAAUCCAAAGAACAAGUUAGCACCGAGCUGCUGUCCCUGCAAAGGAAAGGACGGCCAGUUUCCUCCACCUGCUGUUUUUCAUCAGACUGCUGCUUUAUCUUCACUGUUUCACUUCAGUUUCAGCACAAAUGAACAAUAAAUGAUAAAUAUUAUAUAUAUGA